rnacentral:rRNA from 1 species
UUACAAAGGACGACAUUAGACGAAUCAUCUGGAAAGAUGAAUCAAAGAAGGUAAUAAUCCUGUAGUCGAAAAUGUUGUCUCUCUUGAGUGGAUCCUGAGUACGACGGAGCACGUGAAAUUCCGUCGGAAUCUGGGAGGACCAUCUCCUAAGGCUAAAUACUCUCUAGUGACCGAUAGUGAACCAGUACCGUGAGGGAAAGGUGAAAAGCACCCCGGAAGGGGAGUGAAAUAGAACCUGAAACCGUGUGCUUACAAGUAGUCAGAGCCCGUUAAUGGGUGAUGGCGUGCCUUUUGUAGAAUGAACCGGCGAGUUACGAUUUGAUGCAAGGUUAAGCAGUAAAUGUGGAGCCGUAGCGAAAGCGAGUCUGAAUAGGGCGUUUAGUAUUUGGUCGUAGACCCGAAACCAGGUGAUCUACCCUUGGUCAGGUUGAAGUUCAGGUAACACUGAAUGGAGGACCGAACCGACUUACGUUGAAAAGUGAGCGGAUGAACUGAGGGUAGCGGAGAAAUUCCAAUCGAACCUGGAGAUAGCUGGUUCUCUCCGAAAUAGCUUUAGGGCUAGCCUCAAGUGAUGAUUAUUGGAGGUAGAGCACUGUUUGGACGAGGGGCCCCUCUCGGGUUACCGAAUUCAGACAAACUCCGAAUGCCAAUUAAUUUAACUUGGGAGUCAGAACAUGGGUGAUAAGGUCCGUGUUCGAAAGGGAAACAGCCCAGACCACCAGCUAAGGUCCCAAAAUAUAUGUUAAGUGGAAAAGGAUGUGGCGUUGCCCAGACAACUAGGAUGUUGGCUUAGAAGCAGCCAUCAUUUAAAGAGUGCGUAAUAGCUCACUAGUCGAGUGACACUGCGCCGAAAAUGUACCGGGGCUAAACAUAUUACCGAAGCUGUGGAUUGUCCUUUGGACAAUGGUAGGAGAGCGUUCUAAGGGCGUUGAAGCAUGAUCGUAAGGACAUGUGGAGCGCUUAGAAGUGAGAAUGCCGGUGUGAGUAGCGAAAGACGGGUGAGAAUCCCGUCCACCGAUUGACUAAGGUUUCCAGAGGAAGGCUCGUCCGCUCUGGGUUAGUCGGGUCCUAAGCUGAGGCCGACAGGCGUAGGCGAUGGAUAACAGGUUGAUAUUCCUGUACCACCUAUAAUCGUUUUAAUCGAUGGGGGGACGCAGUAGGAUAGGCGAAGCGUGCGAUUGGAUUGCACGUCUAAGCAGUAAGGCUGAGUAUUAGGCAAAUCCGGUACUCAUUAAGGCUGAGCUGUGAUGGGGAGAAGACAUUGUGUCUUCGAGUCGUUGAUUUCACACUGCCGAGAAAAGCCUCUAGAUAGAAAAUAGGUGCCCGUACCGCAAACCGACACAGGUAGUCAAGAUGAGAAUUCUAAGGUGAGCGAGCGAACUCUCGUUAAGGAACUCGGCAAAAUGACCCCGUAACUUCGGGAGAAGGGGUGCUCUUUAGGGUUAACGCCCAGAAGAGCCGCAGUGAAUAGGCCCAAGCGACUGUUUAUCAAAAACACAGGUCUCUGCUAAACCGUAAGGUGAUGUAUAGGGGCUGACGCCUGCCCGGUGCUGGAAGGUUAAGAGGAGUGGUUAGCUUCUGCGAAGCUACGAAUCGAAGCCCCAGUAAACGGCGGCCGUAACUAUAACGGUCCUAAGGUAGCGAAAUUCCUUGUCGGGUAAGUUCCGACCCGCACGAAAGGCGUAACGAUUUGGGCACUGUCUCAACGAGAGACUCGGUGAAAUCAUAGUACCUGUGAAGAUGCAGGUUACCCGCGACAGGACGGAAAGACCCCGUGGAGCUUUACUGUAGCCUGAUAUUGAAAUUCGGCACAGCUUGUACAGGAUAGGUAGGAGCCUUUGAAACGUGAGCGCUAGCUUACGUGGAGGCGCUGGUGGGAUACUACCCUAGCUGUGUUGGCUUUCUAACCCGCACCACUUAUCGUGGUGGGAGACAGUGUCAGGCGGGCAGUUUGACUGGGGCGGUCGCCUCCUAAAAGGUAACGGAGGCGCUCAAAGGUUCCCUCAGAAUGGUUGGAAAUCAUUCAUAGAGUGUAAAGGCAUAAGGGAGCUUGACUGCGAGACCUACAAGUCGAGCAGGGUCGAAAGACGGACUUAGUGAUCCGGUGGUUCCGCAUGGAAGGGCCAUCGCUCAACGGAUAAAAGCUACCCCGGGGAUAACAGGCUUAUCUCCCCCAAGAGUUCACAUCGACGGGGAGGUUUGGCACCUCGAUGUCGGCUCAUCGCAUCCUGGGGCUGUAGUCGGUCCCAAGGGUUGGGCUGUUCGCCCAUUAAAGCGGUACGCGAGCUGGGUUCAGAACGUCGUGAGACAGUUCGGUCCCUAUCCGUCGUGGGCGUAGGAAAUUUGAGAGGAGCUGUCCUUAGUACGAGAGGACCGGGAUGGACAUACCUCUGGUGUACCAGUUGUCGUGCCAACGGCAUAGCUGGGUAGCUAUGUGUGGACGGGAUAAGUGCUGAAAGCAUCUAAGCAUGAAGCCCCCCUCAAGAUGAGAUUUCCCAACUUCGGUUAUAAGAUCCCUCAAAGAUGAUGAGGUUAAUAGGUUCGAGGUGGAAGCAUGGUGACAUGUGGAGCUGACGAAUACUAA